rnacentral:tRNA from 4 species
AUCUUUUCGGUGUUAGGCACAGGAAGAUUUGAGCUUCCUAGAGGAUUAUUUCCAGAAGAUA